GUCAGAGGUGACUUCGAAUGGAAGCUCGACUCAGAUUGUUCAGGAAGCGUCUCCUGAUCUGCAGAGGCAACAGCUAAUGAGUCUGAAAUUUAAGUUGGUUUUCCAGGUCCAGGAUCUCAGAUGGACUCACUGAAUAUCUGUUGUAACACAAAUAUCUUUGUAGUUACACAUUCAAACAAACAAACUCAGUGUGAAAUUGUCACGUUCAUUUGUAAUAAUACAUGUUAAACAUGUACAUGUAAUAAUUAUUUAAUGUGAAAAAAAUCAUGUUAUAGGCACAUGUAGUUUUAGGAUAUUUUCACAUGUGAAAUAUAAUAUUUGAUGCAAAAUAUA